rnacentral:rRNA from 1 species
ACAUGCCUACAACAUAGCGUUAAUGCAUCGGAUCCCAUUAGAACUUCGUAGUUAAGUGCGCUCGGGCUAGAGUAGUAUUGGGAAGAGUGACUGUCCCAGAAGUCCUAGUAUUUUACAUGCC